rnacentral:rRNA from 1 species
GACGAACGCUGGCGGCGUGCUUAACACAUGCAAGUCGAACGAUGACGACCGAGCUUGCUCGGUCUGAUUAGUGGCGAACGGGUGAGUAACACGUGAGCAACCUGCCCUUCACUCUGGGAUAACCUCGGGAAAUCGGGGCUAAUACCGGAUAUGAGCUCCUGUCGCAUGGCGGGUGUUGGAAAGUUUGUCGGUGAAGGAUGGGCUCGCGGCCUAGCAGGUUGUUGGUGAGGUAGUGGCUCACCAAGGCGAUGACGGGUAGCCGGCCUGAGAGGGCGACCGGCCACACUGGGACUGAGACACGGCCCAGACUCCUACGGGAGGCAGCAGUGGGGAAUAUUGCACAAUGGGCGCAAGCCUGAUGCAGCGACGCCGCGUGAGGGAUGACGGCCUUCGGGUUGUAAACCUCUUUCAGCAGGGAAGAAGCGAAAGUGACGGUACCUGCAGAAGAAGCGCCGGCUAACUACGUG